GCUUCAAAUGGGACAGUCCUUACACAUUCCUUCUUUGGAAAGGCAGAUAAGAGUAUAGUGGUUAGAGUUGCCUUGAUCUGUGAUUAAGACUCUGUGUCAUCAGGACUAUAAGUCUUGAUUGCCAUUACCUGAU
ensembl:snoRNA U8 U8 small nucleolar RNA